GCCAGCAUAGCAUAGUGGUUUGAGCAUAGGAAUAUGCCUCCAGAGACCAAGGUUCAAUUCCUUGCUCGGCCA